rnacentral:rRNA from 1 species
CGCAGAGUGACUAGCUACUGAAUAAUCCUAAAAUUUUGGGGAUAAGGUAUGUGGAAAAAUUUGAUACUACCAUACUAUUAGUGUUGUCAAAAAUUGGUGCCAGAAGACUCGGUAAGACCAAAAACGCAAACGUUAGUCAUCUUAAACAGGCGUAAAGGGUUAGUAGGCAGCUUAAAAUAUUUUCUCUGCCUGUAAAAAUUUUUUUAGGCAAAGCUAGAUAAAUAGAGUAAAGAUAGAAUCAAAGAGAGGUUAAUAUAACUUUUAGUGUAGGGUUUCAAUCCUUAAAAACUAAGAAGAAUACUAAUGGCGAAGGCAAUUAACCACUAAUGAUUGACGCUAAGGAACGAAGGUGUGGAUAGGAAAUAGGAUUAGAGACCCAUGAACCCCUCACUGUAAACGAUGAAUGGUAGUAAUUAGAUUAAAUACUAGUUACGAGGCUAACGCGUUAACCAUUCCGCCUUGUGAGUACGAUUGCAAAGUUGAAAACAAAAAAAUUAGUCGGUCUCGAAGCAAACGAAGUGAAGCAUGUUAUUUAAUUCGUAAAA